AGUGAGCAGAGUUGCUAUUCUGCUCAUGUCCCGCUUGGGGCUUCCCAUUGAGGCAUCUGGUUGACCACUGUGAGGACAGGAGGCUGCACUAGAUGGGCCAUUAGCCUGAUCAAGCAGAUUUUUCUUAUGUUCUUAGGGACCUAAUUUAACCUCAAAAUGAUCCUUGUACAAUUGUAACAAUCCUCUACAAUGCCCUGUCUUUGUUGUAAUUGCUUUUGGGUUUGUCUGAAAUUAAUGAAAUGCACAGUGUUUUCUGGGCAUAUGGAUUUUAAAUUUGGUCUUCUUCUUCUUCAGGGUCCUCAAGGUGAGCCGGGACCCCCAGGUCAACAAGGAACUCCAGGUGCUCAGGGUCUUCCUGGUCCUCAAGGUGCAAUCGGUCCACCCGGAGACAAAGUAUGUUAAUUAAAAGUAGUUGCUCUUUACAGUAUUCUCUGUUGCUCUGAGUGCAUAUUCAGUCUUUGAAUAAGUGUUUGUUUCCAUGUUCAACAUCUGCUUAUUAAGAUUUCUGGAGACUGUUCAGACUUGAUAGAAUCAACCCCAAAACAGUAUGUUGUAUUCUUGAGUUGCAACUUAGCCAAAGAGUGAGAGACUGAAAACAGAAAUCAGCCUCUGGUGAGAGGUUGCUUCUGUAGGGUAAAUAUACAAAGGGACGCCCUGGGCUGUCUUUGUUCAUGAACACAUGUUCAAAGUGAUGUUCUAGCACAUACAAAUAAACCAUUACGGUUCCAUCAGUCUCCACACAAAGAACUUUCCCUCCAAGGUCACAUCCACACCACACAUGUAAAGCAUAUUUAAGACCCCUGGCUUCAGCAAAAGAAUCCUGGGAACUCUAGUUUACCCCUCAUGGAGCUACAAUUCCCUGAAGCCUCAAC
rnacentral:lncRNA from 1 species